rnacentral:rRNA from 1 species
AGUGAACGCUGGCGGUAGGCCUAACACAUGCAAGUCGAACGGCAACACAGUAAGAGCUUGCUCUUACGGGUGGCGAGUGGCGGACGGGUGAGGAAUACAUCGGAAUCUACUUUUUCGUGGGGGAUAACGUAGGGAAACUUACGCUAAUACCGCAUACGACCUACGGGUGAAAGCAGGGGAUCUUCGGACCUUGCGCGAUUGAAUGAGCCGAUGUCGGAUUAGCUAGUUGGCGGGGUAAAGGCCCACCAAGGCGACGAUCCGUAGCUGGUCUGAGAGGAUGAUCGGCCACACUGGAACUGAGACACGGUCCAGACUCCUACGGGAGGCAGCAGUGGGGAAUAUUGGACAAUGGGCGCAAGCCUGAUCCAGCCAUACCGCGUGAGUGAAGAAGGCCUUCGGGUUGUAAAGCCCUGUUGUUGGGAAAGAAAAGCAGCAGGUUAAUACCCCGCUGUUCUGACGGUACCCAAAGAAUAAGCACCGGCUAACUUCGUG